rnacentral:rRNA from 1 species
CACGUAGGGCGCAAGCGUUGUCCGGAAUUAUUGGGCGUAAAGAGCUCGUAGGCGGCUUGUCGCGUCGACCGUGAAAACCCGUGGCUCAACUACGGGCUGGCGGUCGAUACGGGCAGGCUGGAGUUCGGUAGGGGAGACUGAAAUUCCUGGUGUAGCGGUGAAAUGCGCAGAUAUCAGGAGGAACACCGGUGGCGAAGGCGGGUCUCUGGGCCGAUACUGACGCUGAGGAGCGAAAGCGUGGGGAGCGAACAGG